UAAACCCUGUGGUAAACUUCGGUCGUAAAUAGGUUUUGAUCCUAACUAGUUUUUUGGGAGCCGGCAGCGGAAGGGGCUGCGUACGCCCGUAAGGGUAACGCAAUAACCUGAAGAAUGGCACCCACCUGCGAUGAGCAGGUUCAAAACCUCUACGGCCUUAUCCCAGGGUUUUU
rnacentral:other from 1 species